GCAAACUUGGUCAUUUAGAGGAAGUAAAAGUCGUAACAAGGUUUCCGUAGGUGAACCUGCGGAAGGAUCAUUAAAAAAUUGACACAAUGGCGUGGAAAGGAAUCAAUCUUUCCACGACCGGAAUGCGCUCUGGCCGGUUACGAUCCGUUUCCCUCCCUCUGGGAGGGGUGCGGGGAGCUGGCCAAGUCCCGUUUCAACCAAACCUGUGAACCAAAAACAUAAACCUUUGCUUCGGCAGCACGCUAACUUGCGGUAUCCUUCCGGGGGUGCCGUAGGUCGGGCGAUAAGGCUGCCAGAAGCCCCCCAUUUCCAAACCAGUUGAUGCGAAAAGUCAUUGCAGUCUGAACAGAUAGACCAUUUCAAAUGGAAAAUCGAAUUAAAACUUUCAGCAACGGAUCUCUUGGUUCCCGCAUCGAUGAAGAACGCAGC
rnacentral:misc_RNA from 1 species